rnacentral:other from 1 species
AAUUCCCUGCAGUGCCCGUUAGGAAAUAGAUGAUUGGUGAUCCAACACCAAAAUCAAGGGGGUCACAUGCUUCUUUAGCGCUUCGGCUCUAGAGAGACGACUCCCACCUGAAUCCAAGUAGGUUCAGCCAAUCAUGUCCAACGGCACAGGCGGGGAUUUU